UUAAUAGCUUUAUAGAACUUUAUUCUUUACUCAUAGAUAACAACCAAGUAAAAACUAAAAACUAAAGAACAUAUAUACUUAGCAACCUGACUACCUCAACAACCUCCUUUAAGUUCCUGGUAAAAUAAUUAUCCGCAUAUCGUCACAAGGGACAUAAUGAGACUCAAUUUUCUAAAAAUGGUACAAUGAUAGAUGCUUAUGAUAAUUUGUUUGUAACUCCUGC
rnacentral:lncRNA from 1 species